GCGCCUAACACAUGCAAGUCGCACGAGAAAGCGGGAGCAAUCUCGCAAGUAAAGUGGCGUACGGGUGAGUAACACGUGGAUCAUCUACCCUAGAGUGGGGAAUAACGCUGGGAAACCGGCGCUAAUACCGCAUAAUCCCGAGAGGGGAAAGCAGCAAUGCGCUCAAGGAGGAGUCCGCGGCCGAUUAGCUAGUUGGCAGGGUAAAAGCCUACCAAGGCUGUGAUCGGUAGCCGGCCUGAGAGGGCACACGGCCACACUGGCACUGAAACACGGGCCAG
rnacentral:rRNA from 1 species